rnacentral:rRNA from 1 species
GACGAACGCUGGCGGCGUGCUUAACACAUGCAAGUCGAACGGUGACCCGGAGCUUGCUCCGGUGAUCAGUGGCGAACGGGUGAGUAACACGUGGGCAACCUGCCCCAGACUCUGGGAUAACUCCGGGAAACCGGGGCUAAUACCGGAUACGAAUCGAGUUGGCAUCUUCUCGAUUGGAAAGUUUUUCGGUCUGGGAUGGGCCCGCGGCCUAUCAGCUUGUUGGUGGGGUAAUGGCCUACCAAGGCGACGACGGGUAGCCGGCCUGAGAGGGCGACCGGCCACACUGGGACUGAGACACGGCCCAGACUCCUACGGGAGGCAGCAGUGGGGAAUAUUGCGCAAUGGGCGAAAGCCUGACGCAGCGACGCCGCGUGAGGGACGACGGCC